CUUACAGACCACGUGUAAUUCUGAAAUUACUCAGAAAAUAUAUGAGCUGGCUAAUGUGCAUCAAUUCCACCUCCCAUUUAGAAAUCUCGGAUUUUCCGGGAAUUUUUUGUGUUUAGAUAGAAAUUUUCCUGAAAAUGGUUGCAGUAGUUUUCUGUUCUCACUCGGCCCUUCGCUUGCAAUCUUUCUACGCUUUCAGCAAGCCGAAAUUGGGAAAAUCCGCUGUCUCUCUUCAAGGCCUGAAAACUUUGUGGACCACAAACUGAGGGAUCAAUCUUUGAUGCAGCUUGUUGAAUUUGGCAGAGACUGCAGAUGGAUUUUCACCCUUUGCCUCCCGAAGGGACCUUCUUCCAUUAACCAUUUCAAGCAUAAAAUCAGAUGGAAACAGGAGAGGACGACCUCCCCGCAAAAAUCAUAUCUCAGGAAGAACAGAAAAGGGGGAUAAAAAUAAGACACCGCCGUCAUCUGAUGGUAAAUUAUCAGAGUCAUCUAAUCAGGAUGAGAUAAUUGCUCUUUUCAGACGGAUACAAUCUUCAAUCUCAAAAGGGGAGUCUCUAGGUACCAAGAAGAGAAUUUCUGACUCGUCCGUGGACAAGACAUCAGCUGAAUCAGUUUUGGAGAUUCUUCGCCAAUCAAGGAAACAAGUAAAAGGCAGACCUUCAAAAAAGGAAGGAGGCCAGGUGUUGACACAGAGAAGAGGUGUGCCUAAGAAGGAUCAGGGGAUACCAGACAAACAGUAUGUAGCAGACUUGAAGUCAGCGCGGCCUCCAUCAAAUUUUGUGAAAAGGUCUCCAAUCCCAUCUCAUACAACCCCAAGAGGGAAGGCAGUCAAGCUGAAAAAUGAAGUGUCAGUAAGAACAACUAGCUUCAAUGAGUUGCCCAAGGUUGAGGAAAUGAAAGUUACUGAGCUAAAAGAACUUGCAAAGUCCAGAGGAAUCAAAGGUUACUCAAAGAUGAAAAAGAGUGAGCUGGUGGAGUUGCUAAGGUCCUAAAAGGCUAAAAGUAGUUGAGGGCGUUCUGUGAGCUGAGACAACAUGCAGAACGAAUGUGAAGUUUUUUUAACUGCCGAUGAUCAAAGUGGUCCAUCAAUCAUCUAGGGCUAUACAUCAACGAACCUGUCACCUUUUUGGAAAAGAAUAUCAACUUCAGUUGAUGUUUAGUCUUCUGGGACAAUAGUGCAACAAUUUCAUUUUUAACGCCCAUGGUGAUAUUGUUCUAACUUCUUAUCAAAUCAAUGGUUAUAUCGUUCUAACUUCUUAUCAAA